rnacentral:rRNA from 1 species
UGAGUUUGAUCCCUGGCUCAGGAUGAACGCUGGCGGCGUGCCUAACACAUGCAAGUCGAGCGAUUUACUUCGGUAAAGAGCGGCGGACGGGUGAGUAACGCGUGGGUAACCUGCCUCAUACACAUGGAUAACAUACCGAAAGGUAUGCUAAUACAGGAUAAUAUAAGAGAUUCACAUGGAUUUCUUAUCAAAGCUCCGGCGGUAUGAGAUGGACCCGCGUCUGAUUAGCUAGUUGGUAAGGUAAUGGCUUACCAAGGCGACGAUCAGUAGCCGACCUGAGAGGGUGAUCGGCCACAUUGGAACUGAGACACGGUCCAAACUCCUACGGGAGGCAGCAGUGGGGAAUAUUGCACAAUGGGCGAAAGCCUGAUGCAGCAACGCCGCGUGAGUGAUGAAGGCCUUCGGGUCGUAAAACUCUGUCCUCAAGGAAGAUAAUGACGGUACUUGAGGAGGAAGCCCCGGCAA